AGGCUCGGGAAGAGCAGUGAGCCUCGACCCCGCGCGGAGGGCCCCAGGCCUCAGGCUCCCGCCCGGCCUCGGCUUCAAGAAGAGGGCCUCGCGCGCCCACCCGCCUCCCGUCGCCCGGAAGGAGCCGCACUCACCGAGCAGGCCCAGCAAACACCGACACAGCACGGCUGCCGGCAGCCCCCGCCAGCCCAGGAGCAGCGCUGCGGAGGGGAAAGCAGACCGGCGCACUCGGCCCAGCGCUGCCGGCGCCCCCCACCCACCAGCACCCACGCUGACGUGCCGUGACGUCACCGCGCCCGGCCGGGGCCCUGCGUCCCCGCCGCGCGAGGGCGUCCGGGAGUCUGCGGCCAGGGAGCGAGAGCGCGCGCGCAUUCCCGCGGGAGGCGCGGGUAGAAGCGACGGGGACGUGGCGAACAGUGAGCCACAGAGUUUGACUCUUGGGCAACCCUGCGGAAACGCCCCUGCGCGGGUGGUUUCGCUCUUCUCCCCCGGCGCCACCACCGCGCUGCAGUCCAGCCCCUGGCAGAAUUCCUGCGGUGUGGCCGCGCGCUGUGGACUACUGCGGUUAAGGAUGCAGUCCGCCUGGUGGCAUUUUCCCUUCAAUUAAGUAAACAGUUGUAACCGUUUUUAAACAAUUGUAACCCUUUUUCCUUAAGAGUGCAGCUGCUUAACAACAUUCAGUUGGCGUGGAAAUGAAAACGAAGUGUUGGAAAGUAGAGCAGCAUCAAAAGAUUAAUUUUUGAAGGCUUGAUUUUGUAAUCUUUUGGACAAAUCUGUUUUAUAAUCACCAAAGAAUCUUUUAGAUAAUACACCUAUAUAGGCACUAACAAAAAAGUGUCCUUACUUCAAAAGUUCAUCGCUGGCAACGUGAAUGGUAUUUCAAGCCAGGUUUCACUCCCAGUUUUUUCUGAAUGUGACUAAAGUGAAAUGUAUACACUCAUAUGUGUGCAUAUGUGUAAAAUCGUACUUGAACCACAAAGGAUCCCAAUUACCAAUGAAAUUUUUAAAUAGUCUAACUGUUACUAAAAAUCUUCGUUUUACUGGGCUUGGACGUUGUCUCAACCUUCUCCAAUAGUUCUGUGAACAUGAUAAUACGCAAUAAAUGUUAUAUUGCAGCGAACAAAUUUUUUAAUUCAUGUUCUAUUGAAGAUACUCUUUGUCAAUGAAAUCGGAUGCUUUCUUUUCUCAGGGGAACUCCAGGGGGGCAAACUUUUUUAAAAACUUCCAAAAAACAAGCCACUUAAUUAGGCAGCCAGGGGAAUUCCAAGACUCUGAACCAUUUCCCAUUUCCUGUCCCUGUCAUUUCUGCCUGCCAGUCACAGAACAGGAGGUCUUCUGUUCCAAGUUAAUAGUAAGAAAAAAGUAUUUGUAACAGUCUGUGUGAUACAGAGAAAAAUGCCAUGACUUCCAGUGACUAAAAACUUCCAAAUAUGCACAUGACUUUUGGUAGUUCAGUAUUUAGUUGAAGUCACUUUCUCGGAAAGUUACAGAACGUUCCUUAUAUAUGUGGGAAAAUAUAAAUAGCAAGAAUUGUUCAUUUUGAAGUCAAGAUUCUCUUUUUCAGUUAUGUCCAACCAAAAAAGUAAGAUAAUGAAUAUACUUCAGUAUAAGGAAAAUAGUGUAUUUCAAAAACUCAAAAGCCUCUUUUCCCCCAGAAGUAUGUAAUAAUAUUCAGGUAUAAUAAAUACUACUGUUUAACUUUAAAUGUUUAUGAUUUUGUGGUAUAGUAGUAAAUGUAUUCAGUUA